rnacentral:lncRNA from 1 species
ACGAGAAGAAUGACAGCUCAACUCCUUGCAAUACCAACAAUGAUGUUGCUGACUAUCUAGCAGUUGAGGAAAAACCUGAAGAACCAGCCAUUGAGAAAAAACCUGAAGAACCAAUGGCUAAGGAGAAACUUGAAGAACCGAAUGUUGAGGAUAAACCUGAAAAAUCAGUGAUAGAGGAGAAAUCUGAAAAACUAGCAACUGAAGACAUACUUGAAGAGCGAGCAGGGGAGGAAACACCUGAAGCACUAGCAGUUGAAGAGAAACCUGACGAAUCAGCAGUUGAAGAGACAGUUGAAGAACUAGCUAUUGAACAGAAAUCUAAAAAAACAGCAACUGAAAAAGAGAAACCUGAAGCCGUAACUCUCCUGGAAAAGGUGAUCAACCACUGUCACAGGGAUUCCUUGCUCUAUAUGUGCAAGGAAUUUACAUCUACUUAUCUAUUGAAAGAUUUAGUGAAACUUUAAAUUCUUCUUGCAGAAUAUGCCAGUUGUAGAUACAAAGGACGAGAUUAACAGUGAAAUUCCAUGCAAUGCCAGCAAUGAUGUUUCUGACUAUCCAGCAGUUGAGGCAAAACCUGAAGAACUAUCCGUUGAAAAAAAAUAUGAAGAACCACCAGCAGUUAUAUUGGAGAAACCUGCAGAACUAGCAGUUGAGGAGACACCUGAAAAAACACUAGUUGAAGAGAAGCCUGAAAACCCAGCAGCACGGGAAGAAACACUUGAAGAACCAGCAUUGGAAGAAACACCUGAAGAACCAACAGUUGAAGAGAAACCUGAAGAAGUAGUAGUUGAAGAAAAACUUGAUAAACCAG